AUUUUCGGACACAAACGGAACGAGAUGUACAAGUAAAGGCUGUCUUUUUAUCAUUUGUGAAUGUAUAUUCGUAUAUUCGUCUUAUACACUUUAUUCUUUUGAGAUAGAGAAGAAAUUAAGCUUACCAUUUCUACCUUCUACCAGGUACAGUAGUGGAAUGAGUUCAGCAUGAUGUGAUUCCCUGAUGCUUCUCGCUGUGUCUGGGACCAUAAAUAGCCUUCUCCAGCUGAAGGUACUCCGAGGUCACCUCCAGGCAAGUCAUAUGACAUGACAUGGGUUCUGCUGUCACACUAAGAGGAGGGAUGGGGCCAACAGAAUCAAAGUGAGAGAGCGAGUUGAGCCAUGUACUGGAGUAUGACGACCCGCCCAACGCGGAGCUUUAGCCACUGCUGCACCCAGGAAUCAGCCAUGUGGACCUGAUGUAUGUAUCCCAAGAGAGCUUCCUUUGUUAGCACCAUGAGAAAACUGUUCUGUUAUUGGAAGCGUGGCCUGUGUGGAAAGUUGUCCUGUAAAGACAGAUAAAUUAUUAUUUCUGAGUCGUCAUUUCCGUCCCCCUGCCAUUCGUCUUAUUAUCAAAAUGAAAUGUUUGCUUAAAGUCUGUUGGUCUUGUUUGAAUAAAGUUCUUACACCUCC